rnacentral:rRNA from 1 species
AUUGAACGCUGGCGGCAGGCCUAACACAUGCAAGUCGAGCGGAUGAAGGGAGCUUGCUCCUGGAUUCAGCGGCGGACGGGUGAGUAAUGCCUAGGAAUCUGCCUGGUAGUGGGGGAUAACGUCCGGAAACGGGCGCUAAUACCGCAUACGUCCUGAGGGAGAAAGUGGGGGAUCUUAGGACCUCACGCUAUCAGAUGAGCCUAGGUCGGAUUAGCUAGUUGGUGGGGUAAAGGCCUACCAAGGCGACGAUCCGUAACUGGUCUGAGAGGAUGAUCAGUCACACUGGAACUGAGACACGGUCCAGACUCCUACGGGAGGCAGCAGUGGGGAAUAUUGGACAAUGGGCGCAAGCCUGAUCCAGCCAUGCCGCGUGUGUGAAGAAGGUCUUCGGAUUGUAAAGCACUUUAAGUUGGGAGGAAGGGCAGUAAGUUAAUACCUUGCUGUUUUGACGUUACCAACAGAAUAAGCACCGGCUAACUUCGUG